UACGGAGGGUGCAAGCGUUAUCCGGAUUCACUGGGUUUAAAGGGUGCGUAGGUGGGCAGGUAAGUCAGUGGUGAAAUCCCCGAGCUUAACUUGGGAACUGCCAUUGAUACUAUUUGUCUUGAAUACUGUGGAGGUUAGCGGAAUAUGUCAUGUAGCGGUGAAAUGCUUAGAUAUGACAUAGAACACCAAUUGCGAAGGCAGCUUACUACACAGUUAUUGACACUGAGGCACGAAAGCGUGGGGAUCAAACAGG
rnacentral:rRNA from 1 species